rnacentral:rRNA from 1 species
UGGGGAAUAUUGGACAAUGGGGCACCGUAGCAUCCAGCAAUGCCGCAGCUGUGUGAAGAAGGUUUUCGGAUUGUAAAGCACUUUCGACGGGGACGAUGAUGACGGUACCCGUAGAAGAAGCCCCGGCUAACUUCGUGCCAGCAGCCGCGGUAAUACGAAGGGGGCUAGCGUUGCUCGGAAUGACUGGGCGUAAAGGGCGUGUAGGCGGUUUGUACAGUCAGAUGUGAAAUCCCCGGGCUUAACCUGGGAGCUGCAUUUGAUACGUGCAGACUAGAGUGUGAGAGAGGGUUGUGGAAUUCCCAGUGUAGAGGUGAAAUUCGUAGAUAUUGGGAAGAACACCGGUGGCGAAGGCGGCAACCUGGCUCAUAACUGACGCUGAGGCGCGAAAGCGUGGGGAGCAAACA